UCAGCAGGGAAGAAGCGCAAGUGACGGUACCUGCAGAAGAAGCGCCGGCUAACUACGUGCCAGCAGCCGCGGUAAUACGUAGGGCGCAAGCGUUGUCCGGAAUUAUUGGGCGUAAAGAGCUCGUAGGCGGUUUGUCGCGUCUGGUGUGAAAACUCGAGGCUCAACCUCGAGCUUGCAUCGGGUACGGGCAGACUAGAGUGCGGUAGGGGAGACUGGAAUUCCUGGUGUAGCGGUGGAAUGCGCAGAUAUCAGGAGGAACACCGAUGGCGAAGGCAGGUCUCUGGGCCGCAACUGACGCUGAGGAGCGAAAGCAUGGGGAGCGAACAGGAUUAGAUACCCUGGUAGUCCAUGCCGUAAACGUUGGGCACUAGGUGUGGGGCUCAUUCCACGAGUUCCGUGCCGCAGCAAACGCAUUAAGUGCCCCGCCUGGGGAGUACGGCCGCAAGGCUAAAACUCAAAGGAAUUGACGGGGGCCCGCACAAGCGGCGGAGCAUGCGGAUUAAUUCGAUGCAACGCGAAAGAACCUUACCCAGGGCUUGACUUGCACGAA
rnacentral:rRNA from 1 species